rnacentral:lncRNA from 1 species
GUCUUCCAACUACGAUCUCUUCAUGUUUCUGCAUCAUCUUGGGUAAGUCACUCUUGUUAUCAGGUAAGAAAAAUACCUCUUGUUCCCCAAAUUAUCUAGCAGACCAUCAACACAUCUUUUCUGUCUUCGGAUUGUGAUGAGCGAAACUCACAGCAAACAUUGAAUGAUUUCCAAAAGUGAAAGGGACCUGCAACGUCUUCCAACUACGAUCUCUUCAUGUUUCUGCAUCAUCUUGGGUAAGUCACUCUUGUUAUCAGGUAAGAAAAAUACCUCUUGUUUCCCAAAUUAUCUAGCAGACCAUCAACACAUCUUUUCUGUCUUCCGGAUUUGAUGAGCGAAACUCACAGCAAACAUUGAAUGCUUUCCAAAAGUGAAAGGGACCUGCAAUGUCUUCCAACUACGAUCUCUUCAUGUUUCUGCAUCAUCUUGGGG